AGCAGCCGCGGUAAUUCCAGCUCCAAUAGCGUAUAUUAAAGUUGUUGCAGUUAAAAAGCUCGUGGUUGAAUUUCGGGGUCAGCAGGUUGGUCGUGCCUAUGGUAUGAACUGGCUUCGCUGGUCUCUCCUUUCUGAAGAACUGUAAUGCCAUUAAUUUGGUGUUGCAGGGACACAGGACUGUUACUUUGAAAAAAUUAGAGUGUUUAAAGCAGGCUAACGCUUGAAUACAUUAGCAUGGAAUAAUGAAAUAGGACGUUCGAACCUAUUUUGUUGGUUUCUAGGAUUGACGUAAUGAUUAAUAGGGAUAGUUGGGGGCAUUAGUAUUCAAUUGUCAGAGGUGAAAUUCUUGGAUUUAUUGAAGACUGACUACUGCGAAAGCAUUUGCCAAGGAUGUUUUCAUUAAUCAAGAACGAAAGUUAGGGGAUCGAAGACGAUCAGAUACCGUCGUAGUCUUAACCAUAAACUAUGCCGACUAGGGAUCGGAUGAUGUUAAUUUUUUAANNACNCA
rnacentral:rRNA from 1 species